rnacentral:RNase_P_RNA from 1 species
AGUGGUAAUGACUUCAUCGCCUUCGGAAAUUCCGGGGCAGGAAAGUCCGGACAGCGCAGGGCAUUCUGCUUCCUAACGGGAAGGGGUCUCUUAGGGGAUUACAGCAAGUGCAACAGAAAGUAUACCGCCCCUUAUGGGGUAAGGGUGAAAUGGUGGGGUAAGAGCCCACCGGUCCUGGUGGUGACAUC